GGCUCGUCCACUUGUGCCCCCUCAGUCUUACUCAAUGAAUAGAGUGCCAAGUUUCCCCAAAACUGGCUUCCUUCUGUUGUCUUCUGGAGGUUGUGCUCUGGACUGAAAAAUAAAAGGGAUGAGGAGGGAACAUAUGAGAAUCUGGUGUUUUUCCCCUUAGACGUACAUUACAGAACCACCAGCCAAAAUGAUAACAGACCAGAGUUUCUAAUUGAAAAUGAUAAAGUUAUGUUUAUGUUACAUUCAUUCCAACAAAAUAAACUCUGGUUUUACUUUUGAAUUUUGCUUAAACACCUUAAGUUUCUGGCAGUAGUCAGAAUAGCAUUUUCUUUGAAUUAUAAUUCUUGUUUUUUAAAGGAAAAUUUGAACGGUCCAAAUAAUCACAUAUACAAAAUAAAUAGUUCCUUGCCCUCUCUAGGUUUUUUACCUUCUUCCUCAAUAAAGAUGCAAUUUAUAAACAGCCGUGCAUGUGACCAUGGGGCAGCAGUAAACACACUAAAGUAUCCUAAGGCGGACUUUUUCCCGAAACACCGCCCAUUCUUUUUGUAGGAGGGAAGGAGGACGAAGAAAAAAAACCAGUCCUAGCAGCCUUCUCCUCCAGAACAGUAAGAAGCCACCUGGGUUCAACAUCUAGUACUUGCAACAUGAAAACCUUAAGCAAGCUCGGAGGAAGCAAGCACCUGGGCCCCGCCUUAGCCGGAGCUCCAAUGGGAGGAGCGCGCGAGCGUUCAAACACCCGAGUGAUCCCGCGGCUGCAGAGCGCAUCGGAAAGGC
rnacentral:lncRNA from 1 species